GCCGGGUGCGGUGGCGUGUGCCUAUAGUCCCAGCUACUUGGGAGGCUGAGGUGGGAUGAUGGCUUGAGCCCACGAGUUCUGGGCUGUAGUGCACUAUGCCGAUCAGGUAUCCGCACUAAGUUCAGCGGACUUACGGUGACCUCCCAGGAGCGGGGAACCACCAGGUUGCCUAAGGAGGGGUGAACUGGCCCAGGUCGGAAACGGAGCAGGUCAAAACUCCCGUGCUGAUCAGUAGUGGGAUCGCGCCUAUGAAUAGCCACUGCACUCCAGCCUGGGCAACAUAGCGAGACCCCAUCUCU
rnacentral:SRP_RNA from 1 species